rnacentral:rRNA from 1 species
UGGGGAAUAUUGGACAAUGGGCGAAAGCCUGAUCCAGCAAUGCCGCGUGAGUGAUGAAGGCCUUAGGGUUGUAAAGCUCUUUUACCAGGGAUGAUAAUGACAGUACCUGGAGAAUAAGCUCCGGCUAACUCCGUGCCAGCAGCCGCGGUAAUACGGAGGGAGCUAGCGUUGUUCGGAAUUACUGGGCGUAAAGCGUACGUAGGCGGUGACUCAAGUCAGAGGUGAAAGCCUGGAGCUCAACUCCAGAACUGCCUUUGAAACUAGGUCGCUAGAAUCACGGAGAGGUGAGUGGAAUUCCGAGUGUAGAGGUGAAAUUCGUAGAUAUUCGGAAGAACACCAGUGGCGAAGGCGGCUCACUGGACCGUGUAUUGACGCUGAGGUACGAAAGCGUGGGGAGCAAACAGGAUUAGAUACCCCUGUAGUCCCUGAGCGGGCUGGCAAGGCGCAU